rnacentral:tRNA from 1 species
GGAUUGUGGCUCAGCGGUAGAGCGCUUGUCUAGCACGUGCGAGGCCCUGGGUUCGAUUCUCAGCGCCA